GACGAAGGAUGCAAGCGUUAUCCGGAUUCAUUGGGUUUAAAGGGAGCGUAGGUGGUCUUAUAAGUCAGUGGUGAAAUCUCUGGGCUUAACCCAGAAAUUGCCAUUGAUACUGUAGGACUUGAGUAUAGUUGCCGUUGGCGGAAUAUGACAUGUAGUGGUGAAAUACAUAGAGAUGUCAUAGAACACCGAUUACGAAGGCAGCUAACGAAACUAUAACUGACACUGAGGCUCGAAAGUGCGGGGAUCAAACAGG
rnacentral:rRNA from 1 species